GACGAACGCUGGCGGCGUGCUUAACACAUGCAAGUCGAACGGAAAGGCCCUGCUUGCAGGGUACUCUAGUGGCGAACGGGUGAGUAACACGUGGGUGAUCUGCCCUGCACUUCGGGAUAAGCCUGGGAAACUGGGUCUAAUACCGCAUAGGAGCCAUUUUUAGUGUGAUGGUUGGAAAGUUUUUUCGGUGUAGGAUGAGCUCGCGGCCUAUCAGCUUGUUGGUGGGGUAAUGGCCUACCAAGGCGGCGACGGGUAGCCGGCCUGAGAGGGUGGACGGCCACAGUGGGAAUGAGAAACGGCCCAGACUCCUAAGGGAGGCAGCAGUGGGGAAUAUUGCACAAUGGGCGCAAGCCUGAUGCAGCGACGCCGCGUGGGGGAUGACGGCCUUCGGGUUGUAAACUCCUUUCGCUAGGGACGAAGCUUUUUGUGACGGUACCUAGAUAAGAAGCACCGGCUAACUACGUG
rnacentral:rRNA from 1 species